rnacentral:rRNA from 1 species
UUACUGCUAUCGAGGUUCGACUAAGCCAUGCGAGUCGAAUGUAGCAAUACAUGGCGUACUGCUCAGUAACACGUGGACAACCUACCCUCCGGACGGGUAUAAACCCGGGAAACUGGGUAUAAUCCCCGAUAGAUCUCGGUCGCUGGAAUGCCCCGAGAUCGAAAGCUCCGGCGCCAGAGGAUGGGUCUGCGGCCUAUCAGGUAGUAGUGGGUGUAGCGUACCUACUAGCCUACGACGGGUACGGGUUGUGAGAGCAAGAGCCCGGAGAUGGAUUCUGAGACACGAAUCCAGGCCCUACGGGGUGCAGCAGGCGCGAAAACUUUACAAUGCCGGCAACGGCGAUAAGGGGACCUCGAGUGCCAGGUUACAAAUCUGGCUGUCGCGAUGCCUAAAAAGCAUUGCAUAGCAAGGGCCGGGCAAGACCGGUGCCAGCCGCCGCGGUAACACCGGCGGCUCGAGUGGUAACCGUUAUUAUUGGGUCUAAAGGGUCUGUAGCCGGCCGGAUAAGUCUCUUGGGAAAUCCAGCAGCUCAACUGUUGGGCUUUCAGGAG